rnacentral:misc_RNA from 1 species
GAUGAAGAACGUAGUGAAAUGCGAUAAGUAGUGUGAAUUGCAGAUUUCAGUGAAUCAUCGAAUCUUUGAACGCACAUUGCGCCCCCUGGUAUUCCGGGGGGCAUGCCUGUCCGAGCGUCAUUGCUGCCCUCAAGCACGGCUUGUGUGUUGGGCCCCGUCCUCCGAUCCCGGGGGACGGGCCCGAAAGGCAGCGGCGGCACCGCGUCCGGUCCUCGAGCGUAUGGGGCUUUGUCACCCGCUCUGUAGGCCCAGCCGGCGCUUGCCGAUCAACCCAAAUUUUUAUCCAGGUUGACCUCGGAUCAGGUAGGGAUACCCGCUGAACUUAAGCAUAUCAAUAAGCGGAGGA